rnacentral:rRNA from 1 species
UUCUUGGUCAUUUAGAGGAAGUAAAAGUCGUAACAAGGUUUCCGUAGGUGAACCUACGGAAGGAUCAUUAAAGAAAUUUAAUAAUUUUGAAAAUGGAUUUUUUUGUUUUGGCAAGAGCAUGAGAGCUUUUACUGGGCAAGAAGACAAGAGAUGGAGAGUCCAGCCGGGCCUGCGCUUAAGUGCGCGGUCUUGCUAGGCUUGUAAGUUUCUUUCUUGCUAUUCCAAACGGUGAGAGAUUUCUGUGCUUUUGUUAUAGGACAAUUAAAACCGUUUCAAUACAACACACUGUGGAGUUUUCAUAUCUUUGCAACUUUUUCUUUGGGCAUUCGAGCAAUCGGGGCCCAGAGGUAACAAACACAAACAAUUUUAUCUAUUCAUUAAAUUUUUGUCAAAAACAAGAAUUUUCGUAACUGGAAAUUUUAAAAUAUUAAAAACUUUCAACAACGGAUCUCUUGGUUCUCGCAUCGAUGAAGAACGCAGCGAAAUGCGAUACGUAAUGUGAAUUGCAGAAUUCCGUGAAUCAUCGAAUCUUUGAACGCACAUUGCGCCCCUUGGUAUUCCAGGGGGCAUGCCUGUUUGAGCGUCAUUUCCUUCUCAAACAUUCUGUUUGGUAGUGAGUGAUACUCUUUGGAGUUAACUUGAAAUUGCUGGCCUUUUCAUUGGAUGUUUUUUUUCCAAAGAGAGGUUUCUCUGCGUGCUUGAGGUAUAAUGCAAGUACGGUCGUUUUAGGUUUUACCAACUGCGGCUAAUCUUUUUUUAUACUGAGCGUAUUGGAACGUUAUCGAUAAGAAGAGAGCGUCUAGGCGAACAAUGUUCUUAAAGUUUGACCUCAAAUCAGGUAGGAGUACCCGCUGAACUUAAGCAUAUCAAUAAGCGGAGGAA